rnacentral:rRNA from 1 species
GACGAACGCUGGCGGCGUGCUUAACACAUGCAAGUCGAACGAAGUGGCGAACGGGUGAGUAACGCGUAAUCAACCUGCCCUUCAGAGGGGGACAACAGUUGGAAACGACUGCUAAUACCGCAUACUGAAGGAGGGGAUUGCGUCGGAUUAGCUAGUUGGAGGGGUAACGGCCAACCAAGCCGAUGGUCAGUAGCCGGGCUGAGAGGAAGAACGGCCCAAUGGGGACUGGGGAACGGCCCAGACUCCUACGGGAGGCAGCAGUGGGGAAUCUGCCGCCAUGGACGAAAGUCUGACGGAGCAACGCCGCGUGAGUGAUGACGGCCUUCGGGUUGUAAAGCUCUGUUAAGCGGGACGCGGUACCGGAAUAGAAAGCCACGGCUAACUACGUGCCAGCAGCCGCGGUAAUUC